rnacentral:rRNA from 1 species
CGUGCCAGCAGCCGCGGUAAUACGUAGGUGGCAAGCGUUGUCCGGAUUUAUUGGGCGUAAAGCGAGCGCAGGCGGUUUCUUAAGUCUGAUGUGAAAGCCCCCGGCUCAACCGGGGAGGGUCAUUGGAAACUGGGAGACUUGAGUGCAGAAGAGGAGAGUGGAAUUCCAUGUGUAGCGGUGAAAUGCGUAGAUAUAUGGAGGAACACCAGUGGCGAAGGCGGCUCUCUGGUCUGUAACUGACGCUGAGGCUCGAAAGCGUGGGGAGCAAACAGGAUUAGAUACCCUGGUAGUCCACGCCGUAAACGAUGA